rnacentral:rRNA from 1 species
AAUCAACGCUGGCGGCGUGCCUAACACAUGCAAGUCGAACGCGAAAGGGGAGCAAUCCCUGAGUAGAGUGGCAAACGGGUGAGUAACACGUGGGUGACCUGCCUUCGAGUGGGGGAUAACGUCCCGAAAGGGACGCUAAUACCGCAUGACAUCCUGCUCUUGGAAGAGCGGAGAUCAAAGCUGGGGAUCGCAAGACCUGGCGCUUGAAGAGGGGCCCGNGCCNGAUUAGCUAGUUGGUAGGUAAUGGCCUACCAAGGCAACGAUCAGUAUCCGGCCUGAGAGGGCGGACGGACACACUGGGACUGAGACACGGCCCAGACUCCUACGGGAGGCAGCAGUGGGGAAUUGUUCGCAAUGGGCGCAAGCCUGACGACGCAACGCCGCGU